rnacentral:rRNA from 1 species
GGUCACGACUCAGUACCCGAAUUUCUUGACGACCAUAGAGCGUUGGAACCACCUGAUCCCAUCCCGAACUCAGCAGUGAAACGAUGCAUCGCCGAUGGUAGUGUGGGGUUUCCCCAUGUGAGAGUAGGUCAUCGUCAAGA